rnacentral:rRNA from 1 species
CGCGGAUCAGCAUGCCGCGGUGAAUACGUUCCCGGGUCUUGUACACACCGCCCGUCACACCACGAGAGUUUACAACACCCGAAGUCGGUGGGGUAACCCGUAAGGGAGCCAGCCGCCGAAGGUGGGGUAGAUGAUUGGGGUGAAGUCGUAACAAGGUAGCCGUAUCGGAAGGUGCGGCUGGAUCACCUCCUUU